rnacentral:rRNA from 1 species
GACAGAGGCCUCGAGCGUUAGGCGGAAUCACUGGGCUUAAAGCGUGUGUAGGCGGAUCGUUAAGUGUCUUGUGAAAUCCCACGGCUCAACCGUGGAACUGCUGGGCAUACUGCGGGUCUUGGGCCAACUAGGGGCAGCCGGAACAAGCGGUGGAGCGGUGAAAUGCGUAGAUAUCGCUUGGAACGCCGAAGGUGAAAACAGGCUGCUGGGGUUGCGCCGACGCUGAGACACGAAAGCCAGGGGAGCAAACGGG